rnacentral:piRNA from 1 species
UUNGAAGUAAAGCCUGUGAAGUAAGUGUG